UAUCGAUUUCUUAUCGAUGGUAACCUGAGCUUUUGUUUUAUCUCCAUGUGAGGCAGAGCAGUGCGUGGUGGUGCGGGCCAUGGCUGACUGCAACCUUAGCCGAUCUGCUGUUUGUGGAAACUAUCUGUUGCAUGGAUCAGCGGUGGGGAAUCGCUAUCUGUAUCCUGGUUGUCAGACGAUCGGAUUUCCGCCCCUGACGCUCUCUGAUAUUAGAUGAUCUUCCAUGGUGUGUAAAGAUAAGGGAGGAGGUGGACCAGAAGACAACACUGAUGCUCAUGCAGAGGCUUCACAGAUGGCAGGGAGGGGAGGCAGCAUGCAGUGAUCAGUGCAGAGACCAGACUGCAGUACUGACAGUCAGAGAGAGGCUUCACAGGUGAGGAGAGAUUAUAACUACUG